CCUACGGGAGGCAGCAGUGGGGGAUAUUGCACAAUGGGGGGAACCCUGAUGCAGCGACGCCGCGUGGGUGAAGGAGUGCUUCGGCAUGUAAAGCCCUAUCGGCAGGGAAGAAGCAAGACGGUACCUGACUAAGAAGCCCCGGCUAACUACGUGCCAGCAGCCGCGGUAAUACGUAGGGGGCGAGCGUUAUCCGGAUUCACUGGGUGGAAAGGGAGCGUAGACGGCCAAGCAAGCCAGGGGGGAAAGCCCGGGGCCCAACCCCGGGACUGCCCUUGGAACUGCAUGGCUGGAGUGCGGGAGGGGCAGGCGGAAUUCCUGGUGUAGCGGUGAAAUGCGUAGAUAUCAGGAGGAACACCGGCGGCGAAGGCGGCCUGCUGGACCGCGACUGACGUUGAGGCUCGAAAGCGUGGGGAGCGAACAGGAUUAGAUACCCGUGUAGUC
rnacentral:rRNA from 1 species